CCUACGGGAGGCAGCAGUGAGGAAUAUUGGUCAAUGGGCUUACGCCUGAACCAGCCAAGUCGCGUGAGGGAAGACUGCCCUAUGGGUUGUAAACCUCUUUUGUCAGGGAGCAACGCCGGCUACGUGUAGCCGGACUGAGAGUACCUGAAGAAAAAGCAUCGGCUAACUCCGUGCCAGCAGCCGCGGUAAUACGGAGGAUGCGAGCGUUAUCCGGAUUUAUUGGGUUUAAAGGGUGCGUAGGCGGAAUGCCAAGUCAGCGGUAAAAUCGCGGGGCUCAACCUCGCUCCGCCGUUGAAACUGGCGUUCUUGAGUGGGCGAGAAGUAUGCGGAAUGCGUGGUGUAGCGGUGAAAUGCAUAGAUAUCACGCAGAACUCCGAUUGCGAAGGCAGCAUACCGGCUUCCGACUGACGCUGAAGCACGAAAGCGUGGGGAUCGAACAGGAUUAGAUACCCCAGUAGC
rnacentral:rRNA from 1 species